rnacentral:rRNA from 1 species
UACGUAGGGUGCGAGCGUUAAUCGGAAUUACUGGGCGUAAAGCGUGCGCAGGCGGCUAUUUAAGCUUGCUGUGAAAGCCCCGGGCUUAACCUGGGAACUGCAGUGAGGACUGGAUGGCUGGAGUGUGGCAGAGGGGGGUGGAAUUCCACGUGUAGCAGUGAAAUGCGUAGAGAUGUGGAGGAACACCGAUGGCGAAGGCAGCCUCCUGGGCCAACACUGACGCUCAUGCACGAAAGCGUGGGGAGCAAACAGG